AGCCACCCCUUCCCUAACCCUAGCCACCACUCCCCUGGCUCCUCCCUGGCCGCCACCACAUCCUCCCUCUCCCUCCCUAUUCUCUCUCAUCGCUUCUCUCCCCUGCUCUCUCUCGGCCGCCAGCAGAGCUGCGCCCCUGCACGCGAGUAGCAGCCGCGCCCUGCCCCGCGCCACCUACACCGAGCGCCCCGCCCGCGGAGCCGAGCGACUUGAGCUGCCAGGAACUCGCCAAGGCCGCCCGAAGCACCAAGCCCCGACGCCCAGCGCCAUGCCCAGAGCGGACGCUCGCCGCCCCGCACCGAUCGACCCCGCGCGCACCCGACAUCGAGACUCCCCGCGACCCGCCCGCUCCAGCCGCCAGGACCGCGUGCCACCCCGCGCGCAGCUCCCCACGCCUGCGCAGCCGCGACGCCCGGGACACCGUGCCCCUGCAGCUUCCCCGACGUCCGCGCCAAGACACCCUGCCAAGGACCGAAGGCCAACCGACGAACCCCGCGCCGUCCGUGCGUUAUUGGAACUUCAAUGCGUCCGUUCCUCUCCCUCCCCCAUUACUCCCUCUCCUCCAUGAACGCCAUCAACAUCCAUGAAGACUCGACCUUUCCUCUCCCUCCCUAUUCUCUAUAAAUUGGACACCGGACCUCUCUCUCCAUUCCAUCCCGCCUCCCUGCCUCGCUCUCACACGCUCCUCUUCAUUGCUCGCUUGUUUGCGUGUGUGUGUUCACGCCAUCGUGCCACUCGCCGUGUGACUGGAGGUCCCUGCUCCUUCCCCGUCGCCGGCGAAGACGAACACAAGUCACUGCGUCCCCUUCGAUGGAUCCCUGCCCAGAACGCUGUCCGCCGCAGUGAAACCGACCCAGUCUCUAGUCCGUUGUCUCCUUUGCCGUGGACGCCAAGAACCGGAGCACCCCGGCUGGACCAUACAUCACUUCGCCGUGCUCGGACCGCCCGUGGAACUCGCCGGACCGUCCGCCUGCACCUUGCCCUCGCCACGUUCGUGCCCUGCUUGCCGAAGCGAUGCCACCUGUCGUGCCAAACCUUCGCCUAGACGCGCGCCCAAGCCCCGUCCGCCGUUCGUCGUAAGGUUGAAGGCAACCCAAAUAUUUUAUUAACUCCAAAAUCACAGUUUGAAUUAAUUCAUGAAUUUGGUAAUUACUUGUGUUUUGGAAUAUUGUGAUUUGGAAUUCAUAUGUGUAAAUGAUUGAUUUUAAGUAUAUGUGCGAUGAAUUAGUGAAUUGUAGUAGACAUGAUAUUGGUUUACGACUUCUUUAGUGAUGAAAACACUCGAUAAGUAACAUCUUA